GAAUAUGAAACAGAUACAGGAAGCGCUAUCAGCUCCAAUCGGUGCUGCAGCUGAUUUCGACGAGGAUGAAUUGGAGGCAGAACUCGACGAUCUGGAAAGUGCAGAGUUGGAAGAGCAGCUUCUCCAACCAGCGUCGACAGCUCCUGCUGGACCUGUCUCAGUUCCGGCGGGCAGAGUUCCUGCACGCCCUGCUCCUCAAAAGAGAACUGCUGAAGAAGACGAACUUGCAGCGUUGCAAGCUGAGAUGGCCCUCUAACCAGGUUUUCUAUUUUAUUUGAGUUCAUGUGAUGAAAAUAAUACGAGGAGGAUAAGAAAGAUGUAAAGGGAAAUGUUGUAUCAUUUGGUAGGUGGUGCAUCAUACAAAGUAUCAUUCAUCUCCUUCCUGAUUGCGUAUCCGAGAAAUCUUCCGAUAAG
rnacentral:misc_RNA from 1 species